GAGCCAGACUCCUACGGGAGGCAGCAGUGGGGAAUAUUGCACAAUGGGGGAAACCCUGAUGCAGCGACGCCGCGUGAGUGAAGAAGUAUUUCGGUCUGUAAAGCUCUAUCAGCAGGGAAGAAAAUGACGGUACCUGACUAAGAAGCCCCGGCUAACUACGUGCCAGCAGCCGCGGUAAUACGUAGGGGGCAAGCGUUAUCCGGAUUUACUGGGUGUAAAGGGGGCGCAGACGGCGAUGCAAGCCAGGAGUGAAAGCCCGGGGCCCAACCCCGGGACUGCUCUUGGAACUGCGUGGCUGGAGUGCAGGAGGGGCAGGCGGAAUUCCUGGUGUAGCGGUGAAAUGCGUAGAUAUCAGGAGGAACACCGGUGGCGAAGGCGGCCUGCUGGACUGCAACUGACGUUGAGGCCCGAAAGCGUGGGGAGCAAACAGGAUUAGAUACCCUCGUA
rnacentral:rRNA from 1 species